UUAAAUUGAAGAGUUUGAUCAUGGCUCAGAUUGAACGCUGGCGGCAGGCCUAACACAUGCAAGUCGAACGGUAACAGGAAGCAGCUUGCUGUUUCGCUGACGAGUGGCGGACGGGUGAGU
rnacentral:rRNA from 3 species